GCUGGAAGAAGUUUGGAAGAGAUUCGAAGAAUAGUCGAUCACUACAGAAAAUCGACUGAUAUUGAAGCCCAAAGAGCCUUUGGAGCAGCCCGAUAUGUGAAUGGAAAAGCUCAUUAUUGGAGAAGCCCGGAUAGUAAUAUGGAAGCUCGACUGGUUGAGGGAGUUCAGAAAGAUGCCACACAAGGUCGGGAGCCGAAAGAACCCUGGAAGGGUCGGCCCUUUGCGAACUUCGACUGGGGAUAUUUUAUACCCAAC
rnacentral:lncRNA from 1 species